rnacentral:rRNA from 1 species
GGAGAAGCUACUAAGAGCUUAUGGUGAAUGCCUUGGCGUCAAGUGCCGAUGAAGGACGUGGGACACUGCGAAAAGCCUCCGGGGAGCCGUGUACAGGCGUCGAUCCGAGGAUGUCCGAAUAGGGAAACCUGCUGUUGCGAACCAACAGCGUCCUCUUACUGAACACAUAGGUUUGAGGAUGGGAACCUGGGGAACUGAAACAUCUAAGUACCCAGAGGAAAAGAAAUGAUUCCCCCAGUAGUGGCGAGCGAACGGGGAAGAGCCCAAACCGCCCAUGCUUGCAUGGACGGGGUUGUAGGACCGGCAUAUGGAAGUUACAAAACAAUCAGUUAGCGGAAAGGUGUGGGAAAGCCUGCCAAAGAGGGUAAUAGCCCCGUAUGCGAAAACUGAUCGUCUUCCGCCGUGUUCCUGAGUACUGCCGGGCACGCUAAUCCGGCAGGAAGCUAGGGAGUCCACUCUCUAAGGCUAAAUACACUUGACGACCGAUAGUGAACUAGUACCGUGAGGGAAAGGUGAAAAGUCCCCCCGUUAGGGGAGUGAAAUAGAACCUGAAACCAUAAGCUUACAAGCAGUUGGAGGGCUAACAGCAGGUUGAGCGCCGUAGAAAUACGGAUGUUCCUUGCUAUGCCUGACAGCGUGCCUCUUGGAGAAUGAGCCUGCGAGUUAAUCUCAGUGGCAAGGUUAAGGGAGUGACACCCGAAGCCGUAGCGAAAGCGAGUCUGAAUAGGGCGCAUAGUCGCUGGGAUUAGGCCCGAAACCGUGUGAGCUACCCAUGGGCAGGGUGAAGCGAGUCUAAACACUCGUGGAGGCCCGAACCCACUAACGUUGCAAAGUUAGGGGGAUGACCUGUGGGUAGAGGUGAUAUGCCAAUCGAACACGGAGAUAGCUGGUUCUCCCCGAAAUAGCUUUAGGGCUAGCGUCAUGCGUUUAGUACUGGAGGUACAGCACUGAAUGGGCUAAGGGGCUUACAGCUUACUGAACCCAAUCAAACUCGGAAUGCCAGUACUCCAUAGCAUGGCAGUCGGACGCCGGGAGAUGAGUUUCGGUGUCGAAAGGGAAACAGCCCAGAUCAUCGGCUAAGGUCCUCAAAUCUAUGCUAAGUGGUGAACGAGGUGAGAUUACUUAAACAACCAGGAGGUUGGCUUAGAAGCAGCCACCCUUUAAAAAGUGCGUAACAGCUUACUGGUCUAGUGAUUUUGCGCGGAAAACUUAACGGGGCUAAGCAUAGUACCGAAGCCAUGGGUCUCAGCGCAAGCUGGGGCAGUAGGGGAGCGUUCUGUCAGCGGUGAAGGUCGAUCGUAAGGGCGACUGGAGCGGACAGAAGUGAGAAUGCAGGCAUGAGUAGCGUACAAAUACGUGAGAACCGUAUUCGCCGUAAAUCUAAGGUUUCCGACGCCAGGUCAUUCCGCGUCGGGUUAGUCGAGUCCUUAGUCGAGGCCGAGAGGCGUAGAUGAUGGACAUCCGGUUAAUAUUCCGGAACCACUGAAGAGUGCGAUGGGAGGACGCAACGAGGUAGGCCAGCCCAUUAUUGGAUUUGGGUUCGAUCCAUCUAGGCGUUGAGACCGGCAGGGAAAUCCGCUGGUUGAGCUGAGGUGGGAGCGGGCUGUAAUAAGCGAAGUGGCUGAGCCUUGUUGCCCAGAAAAGUCUCUAAGCAUAACUCUUUAGUGCUCGUACCGCAAACCGACACUGGUAGAUGGGUAGAGUAUACCAAGGCGAUCGGGAGAACCUUCGUUAAGGAAUUAGGCAACAUGACCCCGUAACUUCGGGAGAAGGGGUACCCCCUGGGGUGUUAAAGCCCCGGAGGGUCGCAGUGAAAUGGCUCUGGUGACUGGUUAACAAAACCACAGGUCUCUGCUAAGCCGUAAGGCGAUGUAUAGGGGCUGACGCGUGCCCAGUGCCGGAAGGUUAAAGGGAGAGGUUAGUCGCAAGACGAAGCUUUGAACUGAAGCCCCGGUGAACGGCGGCCGUAACUAUAACGGUCCUAAGGUUAACAAUUCGCUAGCCUUAGUAAAAUCGAACUAUAUGCGGGAAAGUCCUCAACAGCCAUGUGGUACUCGCCGUGGAAAGAACAUACGGCAGUAAAAAUCCACUGGACACGGGGAUAAUCCGCAGGGAAGGCUUCCAAAAUGGACGAUGAAACGUUGGAAGAACCCUCAGAGACUUUACGUUCGAUCUCGAACUCUUCGAGAUUGGAAGCGCAAUGGGUUGCAGGGUUUGUCGAUGGAGAAGGAUGUUUUUAUGUCGGUGUCAAUGCCCAUCCUGAAAUGAAAGCAGGGUAUCAGGUUUUGCCUGAAUUUACUGUUGUUCAACACGAACGUGAUGUUCAACUGCUUUUUGCCCUGAAACAGUUCUUUGGCUGUGGCGUUGUACGACAAAAUCAUGGUGACCGAAUGGCGUACCGUGUGAGAGGUCUAGAAAGCCUCAUGGAGCGGAUUAUUCCAUUCUUUGAAAAACACCCUUUGAAAACGAAAAAGUAUCUCGACUUUCUGAAGUUCAGAAAGGUCUUGAUAAUGAUGCAGAGAAACGAGCAUCUGACCCUGGACGGGAUCGAAAAGAUCCGCCAAAUCGCUUCUGAAAUGAAUAGAGGACGAGAAAGAUAAAGUCCGGCUUCUCUGGAAACAGAGUGAGAAAUUCCGAGCGAAAUUCCUUGUCGGGUAAGUUCCGACCCGCACGAACCGCGUAACAAUUAGAGCACUGUCUCGACGAAGGACCCGGUGAAAUUGAAAUGGCUGUGAAGAUGCGGCCUACCCGCAGCAGGACAAAAAGACCCCGUGGAGCUUUACUGCAACUUGGCAUUGUAUUUGGGCAUAAUCUGUGUAGCAUAGGUGGGAGGCUUUGAAGCUGGCGCGUCAGCGUCGGUGGAGCCUUCAGUGAAAUACCACCCUGAUUAUGUUUAGAUCCUAACCCCAUUCCGUCAUCCGGAUGGGGGACCGUGCCAGGUGGGCAGUUUGACUGGGGCGGUCGCCUCCCAAAAAGUAACGGAGGCGCCCAAAGGUUCCCUCAGGUGGAAUGGAAACCCACCAUAGAGUGUAAAGGCAUAAGGGAGCUUGACUGUAAGGCCAACGCGCCGAACAGAGACGAAAGUCGGGCUUAGUGAUCCUACGGUACCGAGUGGAAGGGCCGUAGCUUACCGGAUAAAAGCUACCCCGGGGAUAACAGGCUGGUGAGAUCCAAGAGUUCACAUCGACGAUCUCGCUCGGCACCUCGAUGUCGGCUCAUCGCAUCCUGGGGCUGGACAAGGUCCCAAGGGUCGGGCUGUUCGCCCGUUAAAGCGGUACGCGAGCUGGGUUCAGACCGUCGUGAGACAGGUCGGUCUCUAUCCGCUGUGGGCGUAAGGGAUUUGAAGGGAGCUGCUCCUAGUACGAGAGGACCGGAGUGGACAGACCUCUAGUGUGCCAGUUGUUCCGCCAGGAGCAUCGCUGGGUAGCCAUGUCUGGCAGAGAUAACCGCUGAAAGCAUCUAAGUGGGAAACUCGCCCUAAGAUUAGAUCCCUGUAUUCCCGUAAGGGAGUAAGACCCCAGGUAGACUACCUGGUAUAUAGGCAGGGUGUGUAAGCGCAGUAAUGCGUUCAGCUAACCUGUACUAAUGGUCGAGGGCUUCAACCA